UACAUGUGGGGCAAGCGUUGUUCGGAAUUACUGGGCAUAAAGGGUGCGUAGGUGGUUUGUUAAGUCAGGGGUGAAAUCCCACGGCUCAACCGUGGAACUGCUUGGUAUACUGCGGGUCUUGAGCCACCUAGGGGCAAGUGGAACAAACGGUGGAGCGGUGAAAUGCGUAGAUAUCGUUUGGAACGCCAAUGGUGAAAACAACUUGCUGGGGGUGUGCUGACGCUGAGACACGAAAGCCAGGGGAGCAAACGGG
rnacentral:rRNA from 1 species